rnacentral:pre_miRNA from 1 species
ACUUUAACAUGGAGGCACUUGCUGUGACAUGAUAAAAAUAAGUGCUUCCAUGUUUUAGUGU